rnacentral:lncRNA from 1 species
UUAUAGAACUUUGAAUGUUGAGAAUUUCGAUGGCAUUUAGUAAUCACAUCAUCUGUGUUUCUGAAUCAAAUGUUUUCUGCAUCAUAAAUUUAGUAUAUUUUACAAUAUAAGAUUGAAAUUUAUGCACAUGGAAGGGGGAAAACCCCAUUGAUUUUCUUUUGCCAAUAAAUCAUAGGUCAAGGUCACUGUUACUAAAAAUAGGAUUUUUUUUUUAAUUUUUUUUUGGGGGGGGGGGGGGUCGUUUCCAGACGGCAAUUUGAUUUAACCUUUCUUGAGUGAAAUGAAAAUUAUACAGAUUAAAAAUAUUGGGAAA